rnacentral:rRNA from 1 species
GUGCCAGCAGCCGCGGUAAUACGUAGGAUGCAAGCGUUGUCCGGAAUUAUUGGGCGUAAAGGGUGCGCAGGCGGUUUUUCAAGUCAGAUGUGAAAUCUCCCGGCUUAACUGGGAGGGGCCAUUUGAAACUGGAGGACUAGAGUGCAGGAGAGGAUAGCGGAAUUCCCGGUGUAGUGGUGAAAUGCGUAGAUAUCGGGAGGAACACCAGUGGCGAAGGCGGCUAUCUGGCCUGCAACUGACGCUGAGGCACGAAGGCUAGGGGAGCGAACAGGAUUAGAAACCCUCGUAGUCC